rnacentral:rRNA from 1 species
UCAUUAUCACCACACUGCGUGGGCGACACGAAACACCGAAACCGAACGCACGCCGUCAAGCAAGAAAUCCACAAAACUUUCAACAACGGAUCUCUUGGUUCUCGCAUCGAUGAAGAGCGCAGCGAAAUGCGAUACCUAGUGUGAAUUGCAGCCAUCGUGAAUCAUCGAGUUCUUGAACGCACAUUGCGCCCGCUGGUAUUCCGGCGGGCAUGCCUGUCUGAGCGUCGUUUCCUUCUUGGAGCGGAGCUUCAGACCUGGCGGGCGUCCCUGUGGACGGCGCGCCCAAAGCGAGGGGCCUUCUGCGCGAACUAGACUGUGCGCGCGGGGCGGCCGGCGAACUUAUACCAAGCUCGACCUCAGAUCAGGCAGGAGUACCCGCUGAACUUAAGCAUAUCAAAGGCGGAGGAAGGA